CCUACGGGAGGCAGCAGUGGGGAAUAUUGCACAAUGGGCGAAAGCCUGAUGCAGCGACGCCGCGUGAGGGACGACGGCCUUCGGGUUGUAAACCUCUUUCAGCAGGGACGAAGCGCAAGUGACGGUACCUGCAGAAGAAGCACCGGCUAACUACGUGCCAGCAGCCGCGGUAAUACGUAGGGUGCAAGCGUUGUCCGGAAUUACUGGGCGUAAAGAGUUCGUAGGCGGUUUGUCACGUCGUUUGUGAAAACUCACAGCUCAACUGUGAGCCUGCAGGCGAUACGGGCAGACUUGAGUACUGCAGGGGAGACUGGAAUUCCUGGUGUAGCGGUGAAAUGCGCAGAUAUCAGGAGGAACACCGGUGGCGAAGGCGGGUCUCUGGGCAGUAACUGACGCUGAGGAACGAAAGCGUGGGUAGCAAACAGGAUUAGAUACCCUGGUAGUCCACGCCGUAAACGGUGGGCGCUAGGUGUGGGUUCCUUCCACGGAAUCCGUGCCGUAGCUAACGCAUUAAGCGCCCCGCCUGGGGAGUACGGCCGCAAGGCUAAAACUCAAAAGGAAUUGACGG
rnacentral:rRNA from 1 species